UACAGAGGGGGCAAGCGUUGUUCGGAAUUAUUGGGCGUAAAGGGCGCGUAGGCGGCCUGGCAAGUGGAUGGUGAAAUCCCUCGGCUUAACCGAGGAACUGCCAUCCAGACUGCUUGGCUUGAGACCGGGAGAGGUGAGUGGAAUUCCCAGUGUAGUGGUGAAAUGCGUAGAUAUUGGGAGGAACACCAGUGGCGAAGGCGGCUCACUGGCCCGGUACUGACGCUGAGGCGCGAAAGCGUGGGGAGCAAACAGG
rnacentral:rRNA from 1 species